CCUCUCGUGGUGUAGAGGUAACGCGGCCUAUCUAAUGAACAGGGAAUCAUGGGUUCAAUUCUCGUCGAGAAAA
rnacentral:tRNA from 1 species